rnacentral:lncRNA from 1 species
UAGGUUAAGGAUGUAAAAUGCAAAACAACACUCAUAAGAUUGUACACUAUCAAGGACAGAUAACAAAUUAUUUUUAUGCUCGAGUGUGUUUUUCAAUUAGGUCCCUCAUAAAACCAAAUUAUACAAUUUAGAAAUAUACCUACGACGGAGACGUCCAAAUUAACGUUAGCUCCGCUAUAUAUAAAAUUCCGGCACCCGGCGGACAUCGGCCGUCAUCGGCGGUGGUGCAUUAGGCGGCAAUGAGGCAGAAACCACCGGCACGGGUGGCCAAUUAUAGGGACACGACGGAGGAGGAGGUGCACCUGAACUAGUUUUACAAGAGGGAGCAGAGGGUGGAAUUGGUACAAAUUUUGGUAACAUAUGACGAAAAUCUUUGAUUUCCAAUAGUUUUCUAGGAGUAGUUGCAUGGAUUGAAGAAUAGCAAAGACUUGUGAAAAGUAAAACAAGAAGGAUUUUCGAAAUUGCACUUUGUUUGGUCAUUAUAAAGUAAUAUUUAGGCCUCGCAAAUAUAUGUAGA